rnacentral:rRNA from 1 species
GACGAACGCUGGCGGCGUGCUUAACACAUGCAAGUCGAACGGAAAGGCUCCAGCUUGCUGGAGUACUCGAGUGGCGAACGGGUGAGUAACACGUGGGUAAUCUGCCCUGCACUCUGGGAUAAGCCUGGGAAACUGGGUCUAAUACUGGAUAUGACCUUUCUCCUUAUGGGGUUUGGUGGAAAGUUUUUCGGUGUAGGAUGAACCCGCGGCCUAUCAGCUUGUUGGUGGGGUGAUGGCCUACCAAGGCGGCGACGGGUAGCCGGCCUGAGAGGGUGAUAGGCCACAUUGGGACUGAGAUACGGCCCAGACUCCUACGGGAGGCAGCAGUGGGGAAUAUUGCACAAUGGGCGGAAGCCUGAUGCAGCGAAGCCGCGUGAGGGAUGACGGCCUUCGGGUUGUAAACCUCUUUCAGCAGGGACGAAGCGUAAGUGACGGUACCUGCAGAAGAAGCACCGGCUAACUAUGUG